AACAAAUACACGUGUACUGCACGAACGCGCUUGGAUCACGUGGAAGCUAGUGCCGAGCUGCUGGUUAGGGAUGUCCCAAACCCGCCAGUAAACGUUCGAGUUCAGUGUCAUGAACGCAGCGCCACUGUGUCGUGGGAACCCAAUGGGGAUAAUCGUGAUCCGAUAGUUGCAUACACCAUCAGUUACACCGCGACCUUUCAGUUUCAAGAUGGUGUCCAGAAAUAUGAGUAUCUUCAGGGUGAUAUUUCUCCCGCUGAUUUAUCGAGAUCAGUGGCCCCCAGUCACACAGGUAUGAACUACACGUUCCGAGUAAUUGCACGAAACAAUUUUGGACCGAGUAAUGUAAGUGCGCCCGCUCAUGAUACAUGCACUACGCUUCCGGACGUACCACACAAAAAUCAGGGAGACAAAGAUCGACCGACCAGAACAUCGGACAACCCGGACAAACCCUAGACGAUGGUCCGGCUAACGAUACGCUUAAACUGAAACUGGAACGCCCUCAAUUGCGGCACCUUAAUUCAAGCCACCCCAUCCAACCGACAUAAUAUACCGAUUGAUGCUGAGUCUGCUGACCAGAACCUCUGCCAAAAGGAACAAUCUUAUUACUACAGUAGAAGACUUUAGAGAUUUUUAACCGAAACUCUAUGCCUCCCGAUGUAAGUUUAGGUAUUCUAUUAAACUAAAGAGCAUGUCUUUGGCGAUCACUGAUAUGUUAA